rnacentral:rRNA from 1 species
AGUGAACGCUGGCGGUAGGCCUAACACAUGCAAGUCGAACGGCAGCACAGUAAGAGCUUGCUCUUACGGGUGGCGAGUGGCGGACGGGUGAGGAAUACAUCGGAAUCUACUUUUUCGUGGGGGAUAACGUAGGGAAACUUACGCUAAUACCGCAUACGACCUACGGGUGAAAGCAGGGGAUCUUCGGACCUUGCGCGAUUGAAUGAGCCGAUGUCGGAUUAGCUAGUUGGCGGGGUAAAGGCCCACCAAGGCGACGAUCCGUAGCUGGUCUGAGAGGAUGAUCAGCCACACUGGAACUGAGACACGGUCCAGACUCCUACGGGAGGCAGCAGUGGGGAAUAUUGGACAAUGGGCGCAAGCCUGAUCCAUACCGCGUGGGUGAAGAAGGCCUUCGGGUUGUAAAGCCCUUUUGUUGGGAAAGAAAAGCAGCAGGUUAAUACCCCGCUGUUCUGACGGUACCCAAAGAAUAAGCACCGGCUAACUUCGUG